GAUGAACGCUAGCUACAGGCUUAACACAUGCAAGUCGAGGGGAAACGAUAUUGGAAGCUUGCUUCCGAUAGGCGUCGACCGGCGCACGGGUGAGUAACGCGUAUCCAACCUGCCCAUCACUUGGGGAUAACCUUGCGAAAGUAAGACUAAUACCCAAUGAUAUCUCUAGAAGACAUCUGAAAGAGAUUAAAGAUUUAUCGGUGAUGGAUGGGGAUGCGUCUGAUUAGCUUGUUGGCGGGGUAACGGCCCACCAAGGCGACGAUCAGUAGGGUUCUGAGAGGAAGGUCCCCCACAUUGGAACUGAGACACGGUCCAAACUCCUACGGGAGGCAGCAGUGAGGAAUAUUGGUCAAUGGGCGAGAGCCUGAACCAGCCAAGUAGCGUGCAGGAUGACGGCCCUAUGGGUUGUAAACUGCUUUUAUAAGGGAUAAAGUGAGUCUCGUGAGACUUUUUGCAUGUACCUUAUGAAUAAGGACCGGCUAAUUCCGUGCCAGCAGCCGCGGUAA
rnacentral:rRNA from 1 species